rnacentral:rRNA from 1 species
CCUACGGGUGGCAGCAGUGGGGAAUAUUGGGCAAUGGGCGCAAGCCUGACCCAGCAAUGCCGCGUGAAGGAAGAAGGCUUUCGGGUUGUAAACUUCUUUGACAGGGGUAGAGCAGAAGACGGUACCCUGACAACAAGCCACGGCUAAAUACGUGCCAGCAGCCGCGGUAAUACGUAGGUGCCAAGGUUUUUCCGGAUUUACUGGGGGUAAAGGGCGUGUAGCCGGGAAUGCAAGUCAGAUGGGAAAUCUGGAGGCUCAACCUCCAAAUUGCAUUUGAAACUGUUUUUCUUGAGUACUGGAGAGGCAGACGGAAUUCCUGGUGUAGCGGUGAAAUGCGUAGAUAUAAGGAGGAACACCAGUGGCGAAGGCGGUCUGCUGGACAGCAACUGACGGUGAGGCGCGAAAGCGUGGGGAGCAAACAGGAUUAGAUACCCGGGUAGUC